AGUGGACAAGUAGGGCGACUGAAAGAUGGAAAGAACCCCCGUUAGGGGAGUGCAAGGAGAACCUGAAACCGUAUGCCUACAAGCGGUCGGAGCAUCGUUCGGCGUGGCAACACGUCGAGGGUGUGACGGCGUGCCUUUUGCAUAAUGAGCCAGCGAGUUGUGGUAAGCAGCGCAGGUUAAGCCCUUUAGGGGUGAAGCCGUAGCGAAAGCGAGUCCGAACAGGGCGACUAGUUAUACUGAGUAGACCCGAAACCGAGUGAUCUAUCCAUGACCAGGCUGAAAGUUCGGUAAAACGAACUGGAGGGCCGAACCGGUGUAGGUUGAAAACUGCUCGGAUGAGUUGUGGAUAGGAGUGAAAGGCUAAACAAACUCGGCAAUAGCUGGUUCUCCUCGAAAUAGCUUUAGGGCUAGCCUGGUGCGUUCAGUUAUGGAGGUAGGGCUCUGAUCGGGGUAGGGGGUCUACAAACCUACCGAACCCUUUCAAACCACAAAUGCCAUAACUUUAGAGCACUGGAGUCAGACUACGGGGGAUAAGCUUCGUGGUCAAAAGGGAAACAGCCCAGACCAACAGCUAAGGUCCCUAAAUGCAUGCUAAGUGAUAAAGGAUGUGAAAUUGCUAAGACAGCCAGGAGGUUGGCUUAGAAGCAGCCACUCCUUUAAAGAGUGCGUAAUAGCUCACUGGUCGAGUGAUUUCGCGCCAAAAAUGAUUGGGACUAAGCAUGCUACCGAAGCUUUGGAUCUCGAUUUUAUCGGGAUGGUAGAGGAGCGUUCUAUACGGGCUGAAGGUUAAUCGCGAGGUUAACUGGACUGUAUGGAAGUGAGAAUGCCGGCAUGAGUAGCGAAAAUCCUGGUGAAAAACCAGGACGCCGUAAGCCUAAGGUUU
rnacentral:rRNA from 1 species